CCUACGGGUGGCAGCAGUGGGGAAUCUUGCACAAUGGGGGAAACCCUGAUGCAGCAACGCCGCGUGAAGGACGACGGUUUUCGGAUUGUCAACUUCUGUUCUUAGUGAAGAAUAAUGACGGUAGCUAAGGAGAAAGCCACGGCUAACUACGUGCCCGCAGCCGCGGUAAUACGUAGGUGGCACGCGUUAUCCGUAUUUACUGGGUGUAAAGGGAGCGUAGACGGCUUUGCAAGUCAGAUGUGAAAGGCUGGGGCUCAACCCCAGGACUGCAUUUGGAACUGGCAUGCUAGAGUGUCGGAGAGGCAGGCGGAAUUCCUAGUGUAGCGGUGAAAUGCGUAGAUAUUAGGAGGAACAACAGUGGCGAAGGCG
rnacentral:rRNA from 1 species